UCCGGUGCUGCUUCUGCGAGUGCGCUGAGUUCCUCCACUCUGCGUGACUGCGAGCGUCACGAACAUUACAUAGUGUGGGCAAAAGGCAGACAUCCUAUAUAGCGACGAUGCGACAAGGAGGUGGUACCGACGAUGGAUCUCGCUACCAACACAGUGAAGGAGACAUCGACACACUGCAGCAAAACAUUCUGCUGCUGGAGGCACUCAACUGCCUGGUGGCAGUAGGCGAGCGCCAGGCAUGUGCUCUUGAGAGUGUGGCAGAGGUCCAGAGGGCUGCUCUGCAACAGUAGUAUCGGUGCCCUCACUGCUCUCCUGUUGAGCCCACAGAAGGCACCUUAUAAAGGAGCUUUCAGUUUAAUAUUUUGUUUAUUAUUCAAGAACAUGAAUAAAAUUAUUGCAGUAAACA